rnacentral:lncRNA from 1 species
ACUAGGCUAAGGCACAACAAUCUUGUUACCCUCUAUGGUUGCACUUCAAGGCGUAGCCGUGAACUACUCCUUGUCUAUGAAUACAUUCCUAAUGGAACUCUAGCUGAUCACCUCCACGGUGAUAGAGCGAAGAACAGAUCACUCACCUGGCCCGUCCGCUUGGAAAUUGCCAUAGAAACUGCUGGUGCAUUGGCUUACCUUCAUGCUUCUGACAUAAUACACUGUGAUGUCAAGACUAAUAACAUACUCCUUGAUCAGAAUUUCAGUGUCAAAGUUGCAGAUUUCGGGAUAUCACGUCUCUUCCCAAAUGAUGUCUCUUAUAUCUCAACUGCACCCCGGGGUACCCCUGGCUAUAUCGAUCCAAAGUAUCACGAAUGUUACCAGCUGACCAUAAAAAGUGAUGUUUAUAGCUUCGGGGUAGUCCUUGUCGAGCUCAUUUCAUCAAUGCCAGCUGUAGAUUUGACUAGGCAUAGCCAAGAGAUUAAUUUGGCUAACUUUGCAAUAAACAAGAUUGUAAAACGUGCAUUUAACGAGUUGAUUGAUCCAUCCCUGGGGUUCGACUCAGAUACCGAGAUUUUGGAAACGACCACUUCAGUGGCAGAGUUGGCUUUUCUAUGCUUACAGACAGAUAGGGACAUGAGACCUACUAUGGUUGAAGUUUUGGAUACUCUAAAGGAGAUUCAGAUUAGUGAAUUUGACAAUGAGAAGAGAGCUGACUCUAAUCUCAAUGGAGAUGAAGCUAAAAUUGUUACAGCAUCCCCUUUCGCUGAAUCAGAAGAUAAGUUUAUGCUGAAACAAGUUAAAUCAUUACCUUAUCCAAAUUCUGCUACUAAUAAAUGGGUUACUUGCUCUGAUAUAACUACUACAAAGUAGUUGAAAGUUCUAUACUCCCUUUCUUUGUUAUUGAUGUGAAUUUUGAGAGAUUACGAAUGUAUAACUGUAAGAAAGAAGUUUCUUGAGCUAUGUACCUAUGAGUCAAAGUGAUUCAAUAUUUGAUUUCAUUACAUAGCUAGCUGUGACAUAUACUGGCAGGUCCUUCAGAGCAGUGGCUCCGUCCAAAGACCCUCUCUUAUUGUUGCAUAUACUAGUGAGCCAUGCAAGGUUGUAAAUUUGUUUUUUCAUACUAUCUUUACGUGCCUUUUAGGGUGUGACUAGAACCAUUUCCAUUGUUGUUUUCACCUUUGGAUCCAUCACUGAAAUGAAUAUUGCUUCUAUUUCGACAGUUCAAGUCAUCCAUUUCCAAAGACUUAGAAGUUGCUGUCCUUUUUUUAUUUUUGCAGACUUAAGAAGUCAAGUCUUACCCCUGGUGUCAAUGGCUAAAGGCCAAUGUAAGAAUUUCCUUUUCUCUUCAGCUUUUUUUCCCCCAAAAAGUCUGACCCAUCGUAUACGUUUGGUUCCACAUAGUGUUUAUUUUUGACAAAUUUUACCAGUGAGAAAGACUUGUAAUAGUUACGGUGUUGAAAGUUACGAAACUUGAUCUUUUAAGAGAGUUCAGGUGAGCUAGCUAGAAUUACGAUUCACAAACCGUCUAGUCUUUCCUCUUCUUGCAGUGUAGAUUCAAUAUGGCUUUGGCUUAUUCUUUUAUUUGCUUAUGUGGGGAUCUUACUGACUUGAGCUUUCCUUUCUCUCUUUCCUCACGAUCUGAUUGCGGACUAAUGAUCAUGUCUGGUUGUGGUACUAAAACAAAUCCAAGAACCCAACUGUUUCCUGGAGGGGAUUGCUACAAUCUUACGGAAAAAACCACAUAAUUUUACAGUUUGGCUCUUGGACCCGAAGCUUCAUACCAUGUUGAGGCAGCACGAGUGCUAGACUUUUAGCAAAAGUUUCUCCCUUCAAAACUCUCCUUUUAUUUCUUUCACUACCCCUACGCUUCUGUUGUGCGAAAUUUGAGAUAAUACGAGAAAAUAUAUAAACGCGAAAAACAAGACAACAGAUUUACGUGGUUCACCAAUAAAUUGGCUACGUCCACGGGAAGAGAGGGAGCAGUUUUAUUAUGGAGAGGCAAAAACAGAAUUACAAAAUAGGGUUUGCCAUAGCGUCUAUAUAUAUAUAGUGCUAAGCUACGCCCUAACCUUUCUGUUGUAACGGGUCCGAUUCAAGGCAUUCAACAAAUCUCCACCUUGACUUGAAUUCUCCGAACAGAUUCUUCAGACGCACUAUGAUAGUGCCAGGCCACCCCCUCUUCCUCAGAGUUGCCUCGCAGGGCAAUUAACAGCUUCUGAUGUUGAGCAAGUCCAAACAGUGUUGAAACUUGCUCUGUGGAACCGGCUUUGUGAACAUAUCAGCAGGAUUAUCAGCAGUUCCUACUUUCUUCACCUUGAUUCUCUUCUCACUUCUCAGAAAAUGAUACCUUACGUCAAUAUGCUUGGUUCUCUCAUGAUGGACUUGAUCCUUGGCUAGACAAAUUGCGCUCAAACUGUCACAAUACACCGUAGCCUGAUCAUGAUGUAGACCAAGAUCACUAACCAGCCCUUUCAACCAAAUCCCUUCUUUUGCAGCCUCUGUCAAGGCCAUGUACUCCGCUUCCGUAGUAGACAAAGUCACUGUAGGUUGCAAAGUUGCCUUCCAACUGAUGACAGAUCCUCCAAGGGUAAACACAUAGCCAGUCAUCGAUCUUCUUGUGUCAACAUCUCCAGCAUAGUCUGAAUCAGAAUAGCCAGUAACCAAGCACUGAGUAUCACCUCCAUAAAUGAGACCAACGUCAGAUGUACCUCUAAGGUACCGGAAAAUUCUCUUCACAGCCUGCCAAUGUUCUCUCCCUGGUUGUCCCAUGAAUCUGCUCACUACACUGACUGCAUGUGCUAAAUCUGGCCUUGUACAGACCAUAGCAUACAUCAAACAUACAAUUAACAUAUCACAUAAUCAUAUUCACGCUUAUCUUAUCAAGAUUUGGGAUUCAAUAUUUUCAUCAUGCUUAUCUUAUCACAAUCACAUAAUCAUAUUCACGCAAACAUACAAUUAAGCAUAUAGUAGGGUUUACAAUACUACCAAUACAUAUCAUUCUCUAUUAAGAGUUUACUAUGAAAGCAUGAAAACCAUAACCUACCUCCACCGAAGAAUUGGAAUCAACAAGCAAUCUCCCAGGCUUUGAUAUUCUUCUUCCUCGUUCGACUCUUUCUCUCUCAAUCGAUCAAUCUAUCUCUCACUUUUCUUUUCUCUUUUCUUAUUCAAAACCCUCUUUCUUUUACCCCAAAUUAACAUAUAAUUAAGAAUAAAAGAUGGCAAUAAUACCCCACUAAUUAACUUAGGGUUACCUCUUUUAACCCCCAAGAAUUUGAGUUAUUAAUAUAAACCCACGAAAUCUAUAAUUAAGGAAAGAAUAGUCCCAAACGUCCCUUAAAACGUGUAAGGAAAUCCGAUUCUGCCUGGGAUUUGCGCAACCUGUGACGGGCCGUCGUGCCUGCGACGGUCCGUCCUGCAGGUCGUCGCAGAGUUCAGAGACCCAAAUUUCCACCAAGGGUCUGUGACGGUCCGUCACACCUGUGACGGUCCGUCCUGCCAUUCCGUCACAAAGUUCAGAGAGUCGAUUUUUAGUACCCAAUUUCAGAUUUUCUAAGUGUUUGAAACGAGACCCUGCGACGGUCCGUCGUGGGGUCCGUCGCUUCUGCCAGUUUUUCCAGAAAUAAAGUCUGCUGCUCAAAACGACUAAACGGGUCGUUACAAAAAAUGUUCAAAUUAAAUUAAUAUUUAUACAUUUCAAGAAGAUAAAAUAUUUGACUUUAAUUAGUAAAAGAUGAAAUUCUCCUUCUCAUUAAGUAGAAUGCAAUUAAGUAAUUAAAAUUUAUAAGUAAAAAACUUAUUUGAAGGAAAUAACUAAGAUUUAAAGUGCAAUGAUUGGUAUUUAAAUUAUGUAAUUAUACAAAUAAAAUAUUAAUAUUUAAUUAAAUAAAUCAGAUUUUAAUUUAAUGGAGAGUCAAAAUGACAAUAUUGGUAUUCUUACAAUUAAAAGUUUGUUAAAAUAUAUUUUACAUUUUUUUGUUAAAAAAUUAAUAGGAGCAAUAUUUGGUCAAAGGAUAAAAGAUUUUCUAACUUCUUAAGCAUUUUGGUGUAUCAUUUUUUUGACUUUGGGAUUUGGAUCUCAUAAUUUUAAUGAAAAUUGUCGAAAAAACUAUAGAUUUUAUCCACAAGCACAUGUAAGAAUGAUUCUUUACAAAUAUUUAAAAUUUAAAAUGCAAAAAUAUAAUUAUUAAUAAUUUGAAAUUAGAAUAUCUUGUAAGCAUUAAUUGUUCUGCAUGUCUUAUACACUAUUUUUGUGAUUGUAUUUGUCUCAUUUUCUAAAGCAAAAAAUAUACCCUUCAAUCAAAUAUAUUCUUAAAACAACAUUACAAAUACAAAGAAAAAGUAUCAUAUAUAGGAGCAAGUUUAGCAUAACGCAACCAACGAAAAAUAGAAAAAUGCUAAGACAAUGUUUUUUCUGUUUUUUCUUGAUAAUGCAAAUAGAAACAAAGUUAUAGUAAUAAACAUUCAACUUUUGACCAUAAAAAAUUAAAAUAUUUGGAAGACAAGUUAAUGGAAGUGAUAUUCUACUACAUAAAUGGAGUGGUCUUACCAUAAUUCUGAUCUCGACAAAUAAGUAAAAAAAAUACAUCAAGCUUCGAUAUUUUAGUAAUUAACAUUCAUUCCUAUAAUCACAUUAUGCCUUGUAAUCUUGACACAAAUCCUCUUGCCUUGAAAUUUUCUUCACUUAAUUAAAACUUCUCUAGUCUUUCACACACAAAAAUUGUAUCACAUGUAAAUCUUUCUAUAAAAAUAAUAUUAAAAGAUUGUAUUUAUAGGGGAAAAAAAUAGCUUUGGAAUAUGAAGAUUCACUUACAAAGUUGAAAGGUCAAGUCUUACAAAAGUUAAAGACAAAUAUUUAUUAAGAACAUAAAUUAAUUUAGAAGAUAAACCAUAUACAUGUAUCUAUUUAAAGGGUAAAUAUUUCAAGAAAAUAAAAUAAAUUAGAUAUUUUAAUUAAGAAUUAAUUUAAAGAAGUGCAAAAGUCAUUAACAUUUCUAUUAAAAUAAAUAACUUAAUAUUUAAAUUAAAUAAUUAAAUAUUUUUAUAACAUUUUAAUUUAUAAUAAGGGUAAAAUUGUAAUUCAACUUUUAGCUUUUUUGGUUCCCUCUUAUAAUAAUACUAGUUUCUGAGGACGUGCUUCGCACGUGUGAUUCAUGUGAAUUUUAUAGAUACGUUAGAAUGACUAAAAUCUCAUGGAAAUAUAUAUGUAAAUUGUAAUGAAUAAUAAAAUGUAUCAAUUACAAAAUUCAAAGACUUACGGCAAUAAAACAUUCAUAGAAAACUAAAUUAAGAAAUCUAAAAGAGUGAAAAAAAGACAAAGAAACAAAAUAUUUAAGAAAAAAUACAAUAUAGACAUUAUUCUCAUAAGAUUGAUGUAUAUAUAGAUGAAAAUAUAAGUACAAAAUUAGUACAUAACUCUCUGAGUUUUUAUCGACUCCUUUCAUAUCCUAUCAAAAUUCAAGAGUUUCAUCAUCUGUUUUUACUAUAGAAUAAAAAUAAUAGCCUAAUAAUCUUGAUAAGGGUUUCAUGAGAUAAAGAAGUUGAAUUUAUAUAAAUAGAAUAGGAGGAAUAUCAAAAGAUAUCUUAAAAUUUUAGUUUUAAAUAUUUGGAGGUUAUGAAUAUGAAAAGAUGAGAGUUAUGAAUAUUAAGAGUAUAAAAGUUAAAUAAGUAAUUAGAAAAUAAUAAUAAAUAAAUAAAGAAUAUGGAAAAAAAUUAAAGUUAGCAAACCAUGUAAAAAGAAAAACUAAAAUUCUUUUCAUGUAAUUAAGCAUUAAUGAAUUUAAAUUUUUUGAAGCUAGAGUCAUUCUUUAAUAAUAAUCAAGAGAACAUUAUCAAUGUGCGUAUCCAUUUUGUAGAUUUGCACCCUUUAAAUUAUUAAAUUUCGUUAUUUAUGAUAAAGGAUAAUACUUUAUCCACAUCAAUUAUAUUAUUCAUGCGAGGGGUUAAGGAAAAAGUUAUAAGAAGAGGAAAAAGAAAAAAAAAUUUAGGUAAAGAUUUUUGUAAAAAAAAUUAUAACUAUUAUAUACAUAUAGAUUAUAGAUGAUAAUUAUUAAUAAAUUAGAUAUUUAUACAAUCAAAUAUUUAAAUAUUUUAUAAUAAUUUAAUUUAUAGAAAGGGUAAAACCGUAAUUCAACUUUCAACUUUUUUGUUCAUGCUAACUUUUUUGUUCAUGCUAAAUCAUGAGUCGUUUUAGCCGUCAGGGCCAACUGACGUUCACGAAAAUUUUUGUCCAAAAUAACAUCGGAAUUCUGAAUCACCAAAAAAAGAUGGUGAACAAUAGCACACGAAAUUCAGCAAAAUAGGGUACAAACUCUCAAUGCCAAUGCAGCUAAAAAUAAUAUCAGCUUCUCCUUUCCCUGAAUCAGCAGUUAUGUUAUUGUUGAAACAAGUUAAAUCACUGCCUUCUCCAAAUUCUGCCGCCGAUAAAUGGAUUACUUGCUUCUGAUAUAACUAGAACAAAGAAGUUAAAAGUCCUAUACCCCAUUUCUUUGUUAUUGAUGUACAUUUUGUGACUACAAAUGUACUGAGUUUCUUGAGCUGGAAGUCAUUCAGUUUGCAGUUUCAUUAUGUAAGAGUUAUCGUUAUAUACCUUGCAGUGUAAAAGUUUUUAUUCUAUUUGUGUAAUGUUGCAGUAUCAGCUUUGUAAUUCUCUAGUCGUUGUAGCAGGUUUUGCUACUUUAUUUUCAAGCAUAUCAUACAUAUCUGUUUCAAACAGUUACAUUGCAGUUAACUUAACGCAAUGGCACAAGAAUAUUAUACACUUUCAGAACACAGAAGAGGUUGUUGAAUCCUCGCAGGUCGGAGAAUGUAAAGGGAUCACCAUAGUGACAAUGGCUCCUCCGUAGAAAGGCCCCGCGUUGUUUCAGGUUCAAAACUGGUGAUACAGAAAAUGAAUGGGAGAAGGUUAAUAGUAUAGCUUCAAUUUCUACAGGUCAAGUCAUCAAUAUUUGGUGGACCUGAAAAUGAUGAAAAGUUGCUGUUAUAUUACUGAGUCAAGAAGUCAAGUCUUUCUACUGGAGUCAAUUGCUAGAAAAGCUAAUGUGAACAUUUCCUUUUUUUUUCUUCACCUUUGUUUACUUAAUACACAUCUGAACCUUCUUAUACGUUUGUGUUACACAUUUUUCUUUUUUAACAAACAUUAUCGAUAAACUUAAGGCUAGUAAUCGAGAAACUGUUCAGGUCUUAUAAGAUAUAGACUUCUAGAGUCACAAUUCACAAAGCUUCAGUUAGCGCGUUUUCUUCUUAAUUGCAGUUAGAUUCAAUAUGGAUCUUGCUUCUUCUUUAUUUUGCUUCCUUCUAUCUGUUUUUAUGAUGUUAGUUCAGGCAAAUGGAAGAAAUGAUUCGACUUGUCCAAAGUCGUUUUCAUGUGGAAAUUUUACUGACCUGAGAUUUCCUCUCUCUCUUUCCACACAACCUGAAUGUGGAAUAAUGUUCUUAUCUGGUUGUGAUGCUAAACCGUAUCCGAGAAUCCGACUUCUUCCUGAGGGAGAUUGGUACUAUGCUUUAGAGAUGCAUAAUUCAUCAGUUUGGCUUGGGGACACGAAGCUUCAAACAACGUUGACGAAACACAAGUGCCAGGCUUUUAACAAAAAUUUCUCCCUUCCAUACUCUCCUUUUAUGUCUUUCCAUAUGAUUAAUAUAAUAAGCUUCUACAAAUGCAUCAGUACCAGUAAUAAUACCCGUAACAUUACGCAGAAGGAGAACGAUCAUUUUUCUGGUUAUAAUAUGUACAAUGGCUGUGAAGGCUUUAGCAUAUACUACAACCUUUCCCGACAUGAUGAUGAAUACAUAGGAGCAGACAAUCUUCCUACCAACUGUUCACUUAUCAGAUUGCCAAUUCAGGCAACUCAUGGUGAUUUGUUCGACGUGUUGGGUCCUGAAAUUCUAGUAGAAUGGAAGUUAUCCGAGGAAUGUAACAAAUGUCAUUAUGGUGGAGGUGAAUGCCAGGCUAAUAAAACCAACAAAUUUUCUUGUCACAAAGGUAGACAUCUCCAAAAUAAUCUAUAUUUUCUAGGUCAAGUUCAUGCUUCUGUUUCAAGCCGUGUAAAUGAUAUAUUUCGAAUUAUUGCCUCCUCCUGUAGAUGCAAAAACACCUACAGGUAGUAUCGAUCAAAGAAAAGAAACAACCGAAAGAAAUGGAAGAAAUAUGGUGGGGCCGAUUCUGGGAACAGGUAGUAAAAUAUGUUUAAUUGCUGUAAUGUAUUCUUAUUACAGAAUAUUCAUGCAUAUCAUUUAAAAUUUCGUCAUUUUGGAUAAACUGAAAUCCUUUCUCUAGCAAUAAAGAAACACAAAAUGUACGAAUGUGGAGUUAAGGGAGAAUUCCUCGUAUGUAGGAGGAGCUACUGCCUUCCUUCUAAUCGGUUCGAAGAGAAAGGAAACGAUGCUAUUUCUUUUUGCUUUUCCAAAGACAUUGACUUACUAGCUUCUCUUCCAGUCUUUGGCGGAGUAGGAUCGGUGAUGAUAACUUCUUCAGCUGUAUACUUUAUCUGGCGUUACAAGAAGAGGAGAUUUAGUUCAUCCCGCUUCUUCUCAACAAGGAAAUUAUCAGAUAUCUUUAACCAUGAUGUUGAGGGAGGCAGUAUAUACUUUGGUAUCCCAGUUUUCUCUUAUUCAGAACUUGAAGAGGCCACCGAUGAUUUCAAUUCCUCUAGAGUACUUGGAGAUGGAGGUUUUGGAACUGUUUACUAUGGUGAGAAACUUCUGAAUAUGGAUAUGCAUCAACUGUUUCUUCUUGUGGCUAAUACUUUUUCAUUGAUGAACAGGAAAACUUAAAGAUGAACGGGAGAUUGCUGUAAAGCGCCUCUACGAGCACAACUGCAAGCGAAUGGAGCAGUUUGUAAACGAAGUUGAUAUCCUUACUAGACUAAGGCACAACAAUCUUGUCACCCUCUAUGGAUGCACUUCAAGGCGAAGCCGUGAACUACUCCUUGUCUAUGAAUAUAUUCCUAAUGGCACUCUUGCUGAUCACCUUCAUGGUAACAGAGCGAAGGGCGGAUUACUUACCUGGCCAAUCCGCAUGAACAUUGCCAUAGAAACUGCUGGUGCAUUGGCUUACCUGCAUGCUUCUGAUGUAAUACACUGUGAUGUCAAGACUAAUAACAUACUCCUUGACCACAACUUUAGUGUUAAAGUUGCAGAUUUUGGGAUUUCAAGGCUCUUCCCAAACGACGUCUCUCAUAUUUCAACCACACCCCGGGGUACCCCUGGCUAUAUUGAUCCAAAGUAUCAUGAAUGUUACCAGCUGACUAGUAAAAGCGAUGUCUAUAGCUUCGGGGUGGUCCUUGUUGAACUCAUUUCAUCAAUGCCGGCUGUGGAUAUGAACAGACAUAGCCAAGAGAUCAAUUUGGCUAACUAUGCAAUAAACAAGAUUGUAAAAUCUGCUGUUAACAAGCUGAUUGAUCCAUCCCUGGGGUACGAUUCAGAUACCAAAACUCGGGAAAUGACUACUUCAGUAGCAGAGCUGGCUUUUCUGUGCUUGCAGACAGAUAGGAACGUGAGGCCUACUAUGGUUGAAGUUUUGGAUACUCUAAAGGAGAUUCAGACUAAUCUCAAUGCCAAUGAAGCUAAAAUAGUAGUUGCUCCUCCUUUCCCUGAAUCAAAAGAUAUUGUUUUGUUGAAGAAAGUUAAAUCACUGCCUUCUUCAAAUUCUGUGACUGAUGAAUGGAAUACUUGCUCUGAUAGAACUUGUACACAGUAGUUAAGAUUUCUGUAAUCCGUUUCUUUGUCACUUUUAUGUAUAUUUUGGGAGACUGCAAAAUGUACUACUGUGAGAAGUUUCUUGAGCUAUGUACUAUGAGUGUAAGUGAUGCAAUUUUUAAUUUCUAUAAAAGUUUAAGUUGUAUACACUGCCAGUUUUAAGAAAUUUUUAAUCGAGAACUUAUGGAGUUAUUAAUGAGGACCGUAUUAGAAAUCUGUGUAAGUACAAGUGCACUAUUCACCAUACAUUUGAUGUAUCUGCAAACCAUUUAACUUUCAGACAACUGUGCUUUUUAUUCUACAGUUGAAGUCUUCAUUUCCGGAGAUGUUGGUCCUGAUAAAUGACGAGAAAUCUCCGUUAGUACUCAGAGUCAACAAGUUAAAGUCUUUCUACUGGUGUUGAUGGCUAGAAAAGGUAAUGUGAAGAUUUCCUAUUCUUCUUCACUUAUCUUUUUCCCAAUAAGUCUGACCCCUCUUAUACGUUAGGUUGUUUACGAGAAGGUACUAUGGAAAUUUCCUUUUUACUUUGCCUUUCUUUUUCUCAAUAAGUCUGACACUUCGUAUACGUUUGGUUGUACAUAGAGUUUCUUUUUUACAAAUAUAUAUGAAUAAGAUAACGACUAGUAAUGGAACUUGAUCCUAUAAGAUAGUCUGUUUAGCUAGAGUUGCAAUUCACAAAUCUUCAGCUCUUUACCUCUUCUUGCAGUAUCGAUUCAAUAUGUCUUUAGCUUCUUCUUUUGUUUGCUUUAUUCUAUCUCUUCUCCUGAUUUUAGUUCAGGCAAAGGGGAGAAAUGAUUCAACUUGUCCAAAGUUCUUUUCAUGUGGAAAUCUUACUAACUUGAGUGUUAUUUGUAGUUUUGAUGAUUUGACAAACCUGGAGACCUUGUAAAGGUACUAGUUUCUUAAUUGUCUGUUGCAGGGUUCUUGCUUGAGUAUUGUAGAUGAAACAAACUCAGGGACCUAGUAGAGGUACCGGACUCUCAUGAUGAGGAGCCAGUUGAUUGCCAGCUGGAGACGGUACAGAAAGUAGGUGCACACUUCCCGAUGGCGUCAGAAAGUGUGACUUUUCCAGCCAAUGGCAAAGAAGUUUAGGAAAGUGACUUGCUCAUAUAAAACACACUUUCCUAAACAUUUUUGUUUAGUUUUUGCAACUUGAUAAAAACUUUUCAAGAACUCUUGCAAAGGCUACUACAAAGCAAAGGCAGAAUUAUUCCAAGAACAACAGCAAUAUCUGGAGCUUUUCGUCUAGUUGUUUGGGAAUAUAUUCUCUUGUUCUUAAACUGUAAACCAUUCCUGAAUCUAUAAAGGAAUUGGUGUGUUGUGUUAAAAGUCUAGGUUGUCCAGGUGGGAUAGCUUAGUGGGUAGAUUGUUUUCUACUUAGGCUUGUUAAGCAAUAGAGGACUAUUGCUUAACUGUAAGAUUGAUAACUCUUUCUUACGUUUGGUGUAAUCGUGUUUUACUUUUGCUUUUGAAGAUUAGUGAAAACGAUUGAAAAUCCUGUGAGACAGGUCGUGGUUUUACUCUCUUAAGCAAGGAGAUUUCCACGUAAAAUCAUUGUGUUGAUUUUACUGCAUUUAACUUUCUGGUAUUUUUCUGGAGUGUAGUAAGGGACCUGGUCCAUUACUUGUUAAGUGAAGGCAUAUAUUCUAUCAUUGAGCUUUCCUUUCACUCUUCUAACACGACCUGACUGUGGAAUAAUGUCCAUUUCUGGUUGUGAUGUUAAACAAUAUCCAAGAAUCCAGUUGCUUCCUGGAGGAGAUUGGUAUGAUGCUAUAAGCGUGCCGUUUAAUUAUACAGUUUUGAUCGUGGACCUGAAGCUUCAAACUAUAUUGAGGAAAAACAAGUGCCAGGCUUUUAACGAAAAUAUCUUCCUUCCAGAUUCUCUUUCUAUAUCUUUCAAUAUUCUCCAAAUCUUUAUGAGUCAUUUUUACAGAUGCAACAGUGCUAGUAGUACCCGGAAGAACAACGAGCAUUUUUCUGGUUAUAAAAUGUACAAUGGUUGUAAAGGCUUUAACAUGUACUACAAUCUUCCGGGAGAUGAUGAUGAAGUCCUUCCAGCAGGCAAUCUUACUAUCAACUGUUCACUUCUCCAAUUGCCAAUACACCCAACAGAAGAUGACAGCUUUUUUACUUCCGGAAUUCUAGUAGAAUGGAAACUCUCUGAUGACUGUAACAAAUGUCACUAUGAUAACUUGUUUAGCUGUCUCCUUUAUCUGGUGUUACAAGGAGAGGAAAUAUAGUCCAUUCCGCUACCUCUCAGCAAAGAAAUUCUCGGGUUAUAUUUAAACAUGAUGUUGAAGGAGGGAGCAUAUACUCUGGUGUCCUAGUCUUCUCUUAUUCAGAGCUUGAAAAAGCCACAAAUGAUUUCAGUUCCUCUAGAGUACUUGGACAUGGAGGUUUUGGAACUGUUUACUAUGGUGAGGAACUUCCUAAUACUACUGAGCUAUGCUUCAACUGCUUCUUCACGUACCUAAUUCUUGUUCAUCAAUGAUCAGGAAAGCUUAAGGAUGGAGGAGAGGUUGCUGUGAAGCGUCUUUACGAGCACAACUGCAAACGAAUGCAACAGUUUGUAAAUGAAAUUGAUAUCCUUACUAGGCUAAGGCACAACAAUCUUGUCACCCUCUAUGGUUUCACUUCAAGGCGAAGCCGUGAACUACUCCUUGUCUAUGAAUACAUUCCUAAUGGAACUCUUGCUGAUCACCUUCAUGGUGACAGAGUGAAGGACGGAUCACUUACCUGGCCGGUCCGCUUGAAAAUUGCCAUAGAAACUGCUGGUGCAUUGGCUUACCUUCAUGCUUCUGACAUAAUACACUGUGAUGUCAAGACUAAUAACAUACUCCUUGAUCAGAAUUUCAGUGUUAAAGUUGCAGAUUUUGGGAUAUCACAGCUCUUCUCAAAUGAUGUUUCUCAUAUUUCAACUGCAGCUCGGGGGACCCCUGGUUAUAUCGAUCCAAAGUAUCAAGAAUGUUACCAGCUGACUAGUAAAAGUGAUGUCUAUAGCUUCGGGGUGGUCCUUGUUGAGCUCAUUUCAUCAAUGCCAUCUGUGGAUAUGAACAGGCAUAGCCAAGAAAUUAAUUUGGCUAACUUUGCUAUAAACAAGAUCGCAACAUGUGCAUUUCACGAGUUGAUCGAUCCAUCCCUGGGGUUCAAUUCAGAUACCAAGAUUAGGGAAAUGACAACCUCAGUAGCAGAGCUGGCUUUCCUGUGCUUGCAGACUGAUAGGGACAUAAGGCCUACUAUGGUUAAAGUUUUGGAUACUCUAAAGGAGAUUCAGACAAUUUGACAAUGAGACGAAACUAUCUCCUUUCCUAAAAACAGAAGAUCAGUUAUUUCUGAAACAAGUCAAAUCACUACCUUCACCAAAUUCUGCGACUGGUAAAUGGAUUACUUGCUCUAGUAUUACUAGUACAAAGUAGUUUCACCCCCUUCCUUUGUUAUUGAUGUAGAUAUUGAGAGAAUGUGAAUGUACUACUCUGAGAUGUUUCUUGAGCAAUGUAUCUACGAGUGAAAGUGAUUCAAUUUUUAGUUUCAUUAUAUAAGAGCUGUUAUAUACACUGGAAGGUUGGAAAAUAUAAAGCAGUGGCUCCGUCCAAAGACACAUUUUCUUUUCUUUUUGGGAUCAAAAGCUGGUGUAACAGAAAAUGAUGGGAGAAGUUUGACAAAAAAGAAUAAGGAUUGAGGGGACAGCGUUAGAAAUUUAUGCAAGUACGAGUGUCAAUUUGAGUAUUUAGUCAUAGUGAUAUGCACUAUCGUUUCAAUGUUAGUCAUGGAAUAGAGGGGCCAGUGUUCCAUAUUCUAGGAUAUCGAUUUCUGAUUUGUUUCUUUUUCAAAAUUAUGAAGAUGAUGGCUUGGAGCAUCGCAAGUAUAUCUAUCUUACACCAUAUAUACUCUGCUAUACUUGAAAAAAUUUCUUGGUAAUUGCUAGUGAGAAAAUGAGCAAAUGGAAGACUGGAUUUGUAAACCAUAACGAGGAGAUGUAAAAAGCUAUCUGAUAAGUAUGCGGUGUUCUUUUUACAUUAUCAAACUAUCUAUAGUUGUGUUUUGGGGUGUGACUAGAAUCUUUUCCUUUUCAUAUUUCUACAGGUUAGGUCAACCAUUUUUGAAGACUUCAGUCCUGAAACUGAUAAGAAGUUGCCUGGUAUAUUGCAGAGUCAAGAAGUCAAGUCUUUACUGAUGUGAAAGUUUUCAUUUUUUCUAAGCCUUGUCUUUAUUUCCUCAAUAAGUCUGAUUAUGUUUGGUUCCACCUAGUAUGUAUUUUUGACAAGUUUUACCCGUAAGAUGAAGACUUAAUAUAGAGAGAGUGUUAAGAAGUUAUGGCACUUCAUCUUAUAAGAUACAAAGUCUGGUGAGCUAGAGAGUUGCAAUUCUCAGAACUUUCAGAUAGCUUUGAUCUUUCUUGUAGUAGGAUACGCAGUAUGUCUUUGGCUUCUUCGUCUAUUGGCGUUAUUCUAUCUCUUCUUCUGAUGUUAGUUCAGGCAAAGGGGAGAAAUGAUUCAACUUGUCCAAAGUCCUUUUCAUGUGGAGAGCUUACUGACCUGAGCUUUCCUUUCUCUCUAUCCACACAACCCGACUGCGGAAUAGUUCCCAUCUCUCAUUGUGAUGCUAAACCAUAUCCAAGAAUCCAACUGGUUCCUGGAGGACAAUGGUACUAUGCUAUGGGAAAGGAGUAUACUUAUACUAUUUUACUUGUGGACCUGAGGCUUCGAACCACAUUGACGCAACACAAGUGCCAGGCUUUUAAUGAAAAUAUCUCCCUUUCAGGCUCUCCUUCUAUUUCUUACACUGCAGUUGACCUUCAGAACUUCUACAAAUGCAACAGGCCUAGUAGUAACAACAAAGAUCAUUUUGAUGGUUAUCACUCGUACAAUGGCUGUGAUGGAUUCACCAUAUACUACAAGUUCGAUGGAGUUGAUGCCGAAGACAUUCUAGCAGGCAAUCAUACUGCCAACUGUUCACUUAUCAGAUUGCCAUAUUACCAAAUAGAACCUGGUGAUGAUAAUUUGGUCAACUUCUUAAGUUCUGUAUUUCUAGUAGAAUGGAAAUUGUCUGAUGACUGUAACGAAUGUUACUAUGGUGGAGGUCGAUGCCAGACUGAUAAGAAGAACAAUUUUCUUUGUUACAAAGGUAGACAUCUCAAAAUGAUCUACAUGUUCAAGGUUAAAUCCUUUUUUAUUUCAUGUCACAUCUGAUAAUUUUCCCUCUUGUUUAUUGAUGCAAAAGCUAACAGAAGCAAGUUGGGACUGAUUCUUGGAACAGGUAGUUAAAUACUUAAAUAUCCACAAUGUCAAACUAGUAUUGAGAGAUUGCGAUGUUUAGCUGUUUUCUUUCAUUUGAUAACCUUCGAUUUUUUAUUUCUCUCCAGUUUUUGGUGGAGUAUUGGUGAUGAUAACUUGUUUAGCUGUCUACUUAAUCUGGUGUUACAAGAGGAGGAAAUCUAAUCCACCCCACUUCCUCUCAACAAGAAAAUUGUCCUAUGUAUUUAAAAAUGAUGUUGAGGGAGGCAGUAUAUACUUUGGCAUCCCAGUCUUUUCUUAUUCCGAACUUGAAGAAGCCACGAAUGAUUUCAAAUCCUCUCGAGUCCUUGGAGAUGGAGGUUUCGGAACUGUUUACUAUGGUGAGAGACUUCCUAAUCCAACUGAGCUAUCUUUAAAUCUUUCUUCAUGUGCCUAAUUCUUGUUCAUUAAUGACUAGGAAAACUUAAGGAUGGACGAGAGGUUGCUGUGAAGCGCCUUUACGAGCACAACUGCAAACAAAUGCAGCAGUUUGUAAAUGAAAUUGAGAUCCUUACUAGGCUAAGGCACAACAAUCUUGUUACCCUCUAUGGUUGCACUUCAAGGCGUAGCUGUGAACUACUCCUUGUCUAUGAAUACAUUCCUAAUGGAACUCUAGCUGAUCACCUUCACGGUGAUAGAGCGAAGAACAGAUCACUCACCUGGCCAGUCCGCUUGAACAUUGCCAUAGAAACUGCUGGCGCAUUGGCUUACCUUCAUGCUUCUGACAUAAUACACUGUGAUGUCAAGACUAAUAACAUACUCCUUGAUCAGAAUUUCAAUGUCAAAGUUGCAGAUUUCGGGAU